UUCAAGGGAAACUCAACAGAAAAUUACGUCUGAAUCUCAGAGUUCCUAAUGGAACAAGGGUACCACAACAAACACACAAAUUAGAAUAUCAGAGCCUAAAACCCUUUUUUAAAGCCAACCAGCUAGAGUCCAUUUUUUUUUUAAAAAGCAACUGAAACAGGAAACCAAAUGCACAGAAAGUCCACAGUAAGCAUUUACACAAUAAAGGUAGAGAGAAAACAUGAUAAGAGACCAUUAAUAUUAAGUAACCUGAGAAACAGACACCAUCAGAAUAUGAAAAAUCGGAAUGAACACACUUGUCUUAAUUUUCUCCCUCCUCCCCAAUAAAUGCAAGGGCUUUCUUCAAGGUCUUCAAGCAGCUAAGAGAAGUUUUGGACAUGGUUCAAUAUUCUUUAAGGCUUUUCUUCAGUAUUCCAAGGCAUUUCACCAAGUAUCUCUACAUCCAAAAAACAAUUACUCAGCCUUCAGCAAUGGAAAGAGACAAAACAGACUGAUAGGAAUAUCAGUUCCAAAGCUGCACUUGUACAGUGUUCUUCUCAUGAGCUGCAACAUUUCCCAGAAGCACAAAAGCUCAUCCGCUCUGCGGGCACUUUAGAAUCUGCGUAGGGGUUUUGUUGACAAAGGAGCGGCGGAGAGGAAUCCUUUGGAAGGAGCCUAAUUCUACUUUCAGGAAAGUUAGUGGGAGUUUUGCCAUCAGGUGCGAGUGGGAGCAUGACUGGGACCCAACAGAAAAGAAGAUUCAUGUUCAAUCUAUGCAAAAUGAAUGCCCAGGUAAUAUAUGGCAAAAGGAACCAUGAAUUAGGGAUGUCCAUUAAAUCUCAUUUGACCUAAAAUAGUCUUCAGCCUUUAAUGUUAUUUGUUUGUAAGUAGACAUUAGCAGAAGAAUAUCCAAAAUCUGAACUAGAAUUCGUUCUUUGGAAAUGUAGAAAGGAAGCUGGUAAGUCCAUACCUCCAAAUUCUGAAUAAAUGUGACAUCUCCAAACAGUUUAAUAUUUUGACAAGUUUUAGAAGAAGCAGCAGCCUUGCUGAAGACCUGUACUCAAAGGUUUCAAAAACCAAUACCAGUAGUUACCAGUUCCCUCCCCACUCCCCUGUCUUUCAUUUUGAAUCCAUUUAUUUUAUAAUGAGAAGGCACAUUUAAAUGUAAUGUAUGAAAUAAGUAAAGUUUUACCAAUACCAUUCAAACACUUUGCUGGCAACAGAAGACAGAUGAAAUAAGCCCAAUUAAUUGGUUGCUUUACUCUGCAAACUCCUCAAUAUUCCUUCACAGAUGCAUCUAUAAACCUCUCACAGAAGAGUUAAGUAGUUUAGAGCAACCUUCUGGUAAAUGGAGUUGAAGUCACUAAAGCUAGAAUUCCCAGGCUUUAACCAAAGAGAAAAUAAUUUAGGCUGUAGUGGAACCUAUUUAAAAAUUAGGUGUUUGGAAAGGCAAAGGUCAUUUAUUGUGGAAAUAUCUGACACCAAACUGUUUCCUUUCAUAGAUACACAUUCAAGUAAAGAGAAGGCAGCUGUUUCUUUCUCCUUGGCCAUUUCCACAAAAUAAACAGAAGGAAACUUGCAUUGAACAUUUAAAGUCAAAUAAUUCCCUUAGACAGCGUAGGGGCUCCCACAGAACAGAGAGGAAACUAGCCACACUCAUGGCAAGAGUAAUGUUUGGCCCUUCAGAUUCAUUGCUGCAUUUGCAAUAGUAUAAGUGUCUGGGUUUGUAACCCAAAAUCAACAGAAAAGUUAAUCUGGCAUUCAUUUGGAUCUUCCAAAGAAGGAAGCCUCAUUUAAGACAGAACAAUUUAGACUGAAGAGAGUUAACAAACAGCAGGUUUAUACAAGGGGAAGUUUCUGAAACAGUUUUUCUAUACACUUUCCCUCCAAUUUUACUUUCACAAUGGAAAAGAGCAGAAAGUGUUAUUUUACUGUGUAUAUGUGAUGAAGAAGGUAAUUUAAUAUACUCCUGAAUUAUAUGUUAUCAUCUUAAAUGUUUGCUUUUGUUAAUCACACUUUGUAGCAAAGUCAAAUAUGGAACUACAGAACAUAUAAUGAAGUCUUAAAAAUAAUUAAGACAAGUGAGCUCUCAGCUAAAACAAGAAAAGGUACAGAGAAACCCAGUUAGAUUAUUGUGCCUGGAAGAAGGUGAGUUGUGCUGUGCAUUGGAAAAAUGUAACAGUUUGCUUUCUAACAUGUAAUUAACUGGAACAAACAGCUAUCAGCCUGAUGUAAAUUGGGUGACAUCUUUUAAUUGUUCAGUAGUAGAACCGGGU